rnacentral:rRNA from 1 species
AUGGAUCCGGCGGAGAUUUUGAAUGUUCGAUUCCAUUUCGCUGGCGAGUUCAUCGGCAAUAGUGGUCCCAAUAUACAGUAUGUGGGGGGAGAUGAAGAGAUGUCAGAGAUUGAGAGAGAUAAGCUGUCACUCCAAGAGGUCAAAGGCUUUUUGAAAGAUCAUAUGGAGUUGAAGGAAUCUAUGAAGUUCUAUUUUCGGUUGCCGGGGAAAUCACUUGCUGAUGGCUUGAUGUUUCUGAAUGAUGACAGUAGAUGUUUGCAGAUGGCAGAGUACACUGAAGUGGGAGGAGUAGCAGACAUAUAUGUCGAGUACCAUGGAGAGGAGGACAGUGAGCAUAGCAGCAGUGGUAGUGAUUUCGAAAAAGAU